rnacentral:rRNA from 1 species
AACGAACGCUGGCGGCAGGCUUAACACAUGCAAGUCGAACGGUUAUAGCAAUAUAGCAGUGGCGCACGGGUGAGUAACACGUGGGAACAUGCCCUAGAGUCUGGGAUAACGUCGGGAAACUGACGCUAAUACCGGAUAUUCCCCCAGGGGGAAAGAUUUAUCGCUCUAGGAUUGGCCCGCGCUAGAUUAGGUAGUUGGUGGGGUAAUGGCCUACCAAGCCUACGAUCUAUAGCUGGUCUGAGAGGACGACCAGCCACACUGGAACUGAGACACGGUCCAGACUCCUACGGGAGGCAGCAGUGGGGAAUAUUGGACAAUGGGCGAAAGCCUGAUCCAGCCAUGCCGCGUGAGUGAUGAAGGCCUUAGGGUUGUAAAGCUCUUUUGUGAGGGAAGAUGAUGACGGUACCUCAAGAAUAAGCACCGGCUAACUUCGUG